rnacentral:rRNA from 1 species
UACGUAGGGGGCAAGCGUUGUCCGGAUUUAUUGGGCGUAAAGAGCGUGUAGGCGGCCAGGUAGGUCUGCUGUGAAAACUCGAGGCUCCAACCUCGAGACGUCGGUUGAAACCAUCUGGCUAGAGUCCGGAAGAGGAGAGUGGAAUUCCUGGUGUAGCGGUGAAAUGCGCAGAUAUCAGGAAGAACACCCGUGGCGAAGGCGGCUCUCUGGGACGGUACUGACGCUGAGACGCGAAAGCGUGGGGAGCGAACAGG